UUUGCAUGUUCUUAAAACCUGGAGUUGAGGUCAUUCCCUGGUCAGUGAACUCUGGGUGUUGGAGAUGUGCUACACUAAAUUGGCAGGUAUUUUACUAACACCACUAGCAUCUGUGAUUUGAUGAGUGGGGUUUGAUAGUAGUUCCUGUUGCAAAA